rnacentral:lncRNA from 1 species
GGAAACAGCAGUACAGCUGUAACAGAAGCCCACAGAAAGCGGCGAAUGGAUGGACACUUUGCCCAGCCACCCUGGUGAGACCUCCCCAUGGCCACUGGACGGCUCUGUGCAGGCAACAGAGAUGCAGGCUUUGCCUUGUUAAUAGAGGACUGACACAUGACCCUCAUCAGAACAUACCACAUACACUUUCUGCGUCCAUGCUCACUGGAGAUGGAACUGCCUGGCUCUCUAGGCUGCUACCUGGCCUCUCUAGUGCCUUUUUCAACACCUGAAAGCCAGGACCGAAGUAUUUCUCCGCGAUGGACGCGAUGGCCUUGAUGGAGUCGCCGGCAGCUCCCGAGGCCGUCAGCAGCUGUUCCUCGGGUGGCGGGAAGAAGGAAUGCUGCUGUCUCCACAGCCCUGAUUGUGUAGGGCAGUGGUGCCAGCGGACCAGGACCUUUAUGGUAAGAAUCAGAAAACGUCUGUGGCUUCCAGCCAUGUGCACCCCACAUGGUUCCCAGUUCAGGGAGGUGGCACACAGGAGCCCUUAGUCUCUCAGCCCUAGAGCCCAGGCCUGACAGGGAGGUGGGCUGGGGAAUCACAGGGGCUGCCAACUGGAGGUGUGGGAGGUGGGGCGGGUGGCACCUGUACUUGUUGGGGAACAUCCGCUCGCAAUCCUUGCACUCAUGCGCUUGCCCGUCGCUGCCCACGCCAAGGCCCUCGGGCUUGAGUUCCUCCCCUAGGCCCUCGUAGAGCUGGGCUCCUGCAGAGCUGCACGCGUACUUCUUGUGGCGCCUCAGGUCCAGCCUGCACUGGAAGAGCUCAUCACACUCAUCACAGCGGAAUGUGGGG